AUCUAAUCCCGUUUGCUCCCCUGGGCUUUCGCGCCUCAGCGUCAGUAGAGAUCCAGUGCGUCGCUUUCGCCUCCGGCGUUCCUUCCAAUAUCAACGCAUUUCACCGCUCCACUGGAAGUUCCACACACCCCUAUCUCCCUCCAGACCAUCAGUAUCGAAGGCACUUCUACAGUUAAGCUGCAGGAUUUCACCCCCGACUUGAUGGACCGCCUACGCGCCCUUUAAGCCCAGUGAUUCCGAACAACGUUAGGACAGUUCGUCUUACCGCGGCUGCUGGCACGAACUUAGCCCGUCCUUACUGAGGGUCGAUCAAGUUUCCCUUUCUUCCCUCUUUCGCGCUUUACAACCCGAAGGCCUUCAUCGCGCACGCGGCGUCGCUCGUUCAGGCUUGCGCCCAUUGACGAAGAUCCUCGACUGCAGCCACCCGUAGGUGUCUGGCCAGUGUCUCAGUGCCAGUGGCGCGGGUCGUGCUCUCACACCCGCUAGCCAUCUUAGCCUUGGUAGGCCGUUACCCCACCAACUAGCUAAUAGCACAUGGGCCCCUCUCGAGGCGAAAUUCAUUUCCCGGUAGAAGGAUGCCCUCCCGCCGAAUCUCUGGGUAUUACCCGCUCGUUAGAACGGCUAUCCCCAUCCCCAAGGUAGGUUACCCAUGCAUUACUGCCCCUUUCGCCACUUCCGCCAGCUCUGUAUUGCUACAAAACUGACAUUCGUUCGACUUGCAUGCCUAAUCCACGCCGCCAACGUUCGUUCUGAGCCAGGAUCAAACUCU
rnacentral:rRNA from 1 species